rnacentral:rRNA from 1 species
GAUGAACGCUGGCGGCGUGCUUAACACAUGCAAGUCGAACGGGGCUGCGAUGUGUGAAGGAUCAGCUUGCUGAUCUGGAACUUUUCACAGCUUAGUGGCGGACGGGUGAGUAACGCGUGGGUAACCUGCCUUAUACAGGGGGAUAACACUUAGAAAUAGGUGCUAAUACCGCAUAAGCGCACAGGACCGCAUGGUCUGGUGUGAAAAACCUCGGUGGUAUAAGAUGGACCCGCGUCUGAUUAGCCAGUUGGCAGGGUAACGGCCUACCAAAGCGACGAUCAGUAGCCGGCCUGAGAGGGUGAACGGCCACAUUGGGACUGAGACACGGCCCAAACUCCUACGGGAGGCAGCAGUGGGGAAUAUUGCACAAUGGGGGAAACCCUGAUGCAGCGACGCCGCGUGAGUGAAGAAGUAUUUCGGUAUGUAAAGCUCUAUCAGCAGGGAAGAAAAUGACGGUACCUGACCAAGAAGCCCCGGCUAACUACGUGCCAGCAGCCGCGGUAAUACGUAGGGGGCAAGCGUUAUC